GAAGUUCGCCAGGCAGCCGCUGGAUGCCAACGCAAAUGCGGCAUCUGGAGGAAAGUCCGGGCCCCGCAGAGCAGGAUGCCGGCUAACGGCCGGGCACUGUGAAGUGACGGAAAGUGCAACAGAAAGAUACCGCCGAUGGCUCGCCCUGACUUUGCCGCCGCAAGGCAGCAAGGUUUCCCUUGAGUGGGGAGGGCAGCACAGGUAAGGGUGAAAUGGUGGAGUAAGAGCCCACCGCGUUUCUGGUAACAGAAAUGGCACGGCAAACCCCAUCCGGGGCAAGGCCAAAUAGGGGAGCAUUGGCGUGGCUCGCGUCGCUCCCGGGUAGGCUGCUAGAGGCCGUUGGCAACAACGGUCCCAGAGGAAUGGCUGCCCACGACAGAACCCGGCUUAUCGGCGAACUUCCCAC
rnacentral:RNase_P_RNA from 1 species